GGGGGUGCACUGGCUUCGACUCGGGCGAGAACUGACCGGGAGAAGCGGGCCGAGGUUCCGGAUGCCUCGUUAAAAGCCGGAUCAAACACAAGCGCCGAUAACUACGCGCUCGCUGCCUAAUUAGUU
rnacentral:tmRNA from 1 species